UUCGAAUCCCACUGUGGCCGGGCAUAUUUUUCAAGCUUGCCCGGUGUGGAUAUGCGCUCAGAAUAACAUCGCAUACAUAUUAUUCACCUGAGUACACAACACCAACACAGAAAAAUUCAUUACUAGAACACAUUGGUAUUGAAGGAACUAGAUACUGUUCCGAAAUAUCACUUACUCGAACGGUCCUGACCGCGUAGCUCAGCUGGAAGAGCAUUGGGCUAGUAUUUCAAAGGUCGUAGGUUCGAAUCCCACCGUGACCGGGCAUAUUUUUCAAGCUCGCCCGGUGUGGAUAUGCACUCAGAGUAACAUCGCAAACAUAUUAUUCACCUGAGUACACAACACCAACACAGAAAAAAAAAAUUCAUAUUACUAGAACACAUUGGUAUUGAAGGAACUAGAUACUGUUCCGAAAUAUCACUUACUCGAACCGUCCUGACCGCGUAGCUCAGUUGGAAGAGCAUUGGGCUAGUAUUCCAAAGGUCGUAGAUUCGAAUCCCACCGUGGCCGGGCAUAUUUUCCAAUCUCGCCCGGUGUGGAUGUACACUCAGAGUAACACCACAAAUAUCAUAUUCACCUGAGUACACUACACCAACACAGAAAAAAAAUUCAUAUUACUAGAAUACAUUGGUAUCGAAGGAACUAGAUUCUGUUCCGAAAUAUCACUUACUCGAACCGUCCUGACCGCGUAGCUCAGUUGGAAGAGCAUUGGGCUAGUAUUCCAAAGGUCGUAGGUUCGAAUCCCACCGUAGCCGGGCAUAUUUUUCAAGCUCGCCCGGUGUGGAUAUACACUCAGAGUAACACCACAAAUAUCAUAUUCACCUGAGUACACUACACCAACACAGAAAAAAAAAAAAAAAAAAUUCAUAUUAAUAGAAUACAUUGGUAUCGAAGGAACUAGAUUCUGUUCCGAAAUAUCACUUACUCGAACCGUCCUGACCGCGUAGCUCAGUUGGAAGAGCAUUGGGCUAGUAUUCCAAAGGUCGUAGGUUCGAAUCCCACCGUGGCCGGGCAUAUUUUUCAAGCUCGCCCGGUGUGGAUAUGCACUCAGAGUAACAUCACAAACAUAUUAUUCACCUGAGUACACAACACCAGCACAGAAAAAAAAAAAAAUUCAUAUUACAAGAACACAUUGGUAUUGAAGGAACUAGAUACUGUUCCGAAAUAUCACUUACUCGAACCGUCCUGACCGCGUAGCUCAAUUGGAAGAGCAUUGGGCUAGUAUUCCAAAGGUCGUAGGUUCGAAUCCCACCGUGGCCGGGCAUAUAUUUCAAGCUCGCCCGGUGUGGAUAUACACUCAGAGUAACACCACAAAUAUCAUAUUCACCUGAGUACACUACACCAACACAGAAAAAAAAUUCAUAUUACUAGAAUACAUUGGUAUCGAAGGAACUAGAUUCUGUUCCGAAAUAUCACUUACGUGAACCGUCCUGACCGCGUAGCUCAGUUGGAAGAGCAUUGGGCUAGUAUUCCAAAGGUCGUAGGUUCGAAUCCCACCGUGGCCGGGCAUAUUUUUCAAGCUCGCCCGGUGUGGAUAUACACUCAGAGUAACACCACAAAUAUCAUAUUCACCUGAGUACACUACACCAACACAGAAAAAAAAUUCAUAUUACUAGAAUACAUUGGUAUCGAAGGAACUAGAUUCUGUUCCGAAAUAUCACUUACUCGAACCGUCCUGACCGCGUAGCUCAGUUGGAAGAGCAUUGGGCUAGUAUUCCAAAGGUCGUAGGUUCGAAUCCCACCGUGGCCGGGCA
rnacentral:tRNA from 1 species